rnacentral:rRNA from 1 species
UACGGAGGGGGCUAGCGUUGUUCGGAAUUACUGGGCGUAAAGCGCACGUAGGCGGCUUUGUAAGUUAGAGGUGAAAGCCCAGGGCUCAACCCUGGAAUUGCCUUUAAGACUGCAUCGCUUGAACAUCGGAGAGGUAAGUGGAAUUCCGAGUGUAGAGGUGAAAUUCGUAGAUAUUCGGAAGAACAUCAGUGGCGAAGGCGACUUACUGGACGAUUGUUGACGCUGAGGUGCGAAAGCGUGGGGAGCAAACAGG